UACGUAGGGUGCAAGCGUUAUCCGGAAUUAUUGGGCGUAAAGAGCUCGUAGGCGGUUUGUCGCGUCUGCUGUGAAAACUGGGGGCUCAACCCCCAGCCUGCAGUGGGUACGGGCAGACUAGAGUGCGGUAGGGGAGAUUGGAAUUCCUGGUGUAGCGGUGGAAUGCGCAGAUAUCAGGAGGAACACCGGUGGCGAAGGCGGCAUCCUGGACCAACACUGACGCUGAGGAGCGAAAGCAUGGGUAGCGAACAGG
rnacentral:rRNA from 1 species